GUGAGGAAUAUUGGUCAAUGGACGGAAGUCUGAACCAGCCAUGCCGCGUGUAGGAAUAAGGUCCUAUGGAUUGUAAACUGCUUUUAUUCGGGAAUAAACCUCUUUACGUGUAGGGAGCUGAAGGUACCGAAGGAAUAAGCACCGGCUAACUCCGUGCCAGCAGCCGCGGUAAUACGGAGGGUGCAAGCGUUAUCCGGAAUCAUUGGGUUUAAAGGGUCCGCAGGCGGGCUAUCAAGUCAGAGGUGAAAUCCCACAGCUUAACUGUGGAACUGCCUUUGAAACUGAUGGUCUUGAAUUAAGUGGGCGUUGGCGGAAUAUGACAUGUAGCGGUGAAAUGCAUAGAUAUGUCAUGGAACAUCGAAAGCGAAGGCAGCUAACGAUACUUAUAUUGACGCUCAUGGACGAAAGCGUGGGUAGCGAACAGGAUUAGAAACCCUGGUAGUCC
rnacentral:rRNA from 1 species